CCGCCACUCAUACCCUGGCCGAAGACCUUGUCAAUCUCGUUCUUCAAUCCGUCUAAUCUAGUCAUUCCCUAUCUUUCUGCAACAAGUGCAAAACUCGCAAUCCCCCAUUCAAACCCAUCGUCCGAUCUUCUUUCCAUGCCCAUAUCUAGGGCUCAUCAUCAAUCCCGCGCCGUUGCGGCGGGCGUCGGCGCUGCAACCUCUUAUCCAGUUCAUACCUGGAAGCAUCAGCAUCGCUACGAUGCCGCCGGUGACGAUGAUAUUGCUCCUUUGGCGAAGAGGAGGAAGCUGGCCGCUCCCUCGUCAGAAGUCAGCUGGAGCUGGCCCCGGUACUCGAAACCUGGAGGCAAAACCUUCGCGACGUCACAGCUUCCUAUGCCGCACGACGAUCCCACCGGUCCAGGCUGCGUAUCUGCUCAGAGGCAAUCGGAAGUGGAUGAAAUGCCCGUCAUGUCGCGGGAUGAGAUCGAGAGAUGCUCGCCAUCGAGGAAGGAUGGUAUUGAUAGAUACAUGGAGACGCGCCUUCGUUACUCCUAUUGUGCUUAUCUUCAGAGCCUUGGGAUGAGACUAGAUCUGCCUCAGACGACGGUUGGUACUGCCGUGGUGCUUUGCCACCGCUUCUUUCUUCGUCGAUCUCAUGCUUCUAAUGAUAGAUUUUUAAUAGCUACAGCAGCACUUUUCUUAGCUACAAAGUCUGAAGAAACACCAUGCCUAUUGAAUUCUGUGCUCAGCGCCUCCUUUGAAAUUUGUCAGAAACAUAAUUUUGCUUUCUUUCCACAUUUGUUGUAUGCUCAGGACUGGUUUGAGCUAUACCGAGACCGAGUUGUUGAAGCUGAGCAAUUGAUUCUAACAACUCUAAAUUUUGAACUCAAGGUGGAACAUCCCUACGUUCCUCUUACUGAUAUUGUUAAGAAGUUAGGACUAUCACAAACUGUUUUGCUGAAUUUGGCUUGGAACCUGGUCAAUGAGGGACUUCGGAGUUCACUUUGGCUACAGUUUAAGCCUCAUCACAUAGCUGCUGGAGCAGUAUUUCUUGCUGCCAAAUUCCUUAAUUUUGACCUUACAUUAUAUCAGCACAUUUGGCGAGAAUUUCAGACAAGAGCACCAGUUCUUGAAGAUGUUGUGCAGCAACUUAUGGAGCUUUUGUAGCACAGCUUUAUUGCCUCCCCUAAGCCCUUCUCCAUAUCUGACAUAAAUGAAGGAUGAUGCAAUUCAGAGCCAAAUAGAAAACCUUUCUCCUUCAGCAAGCAAAAGGCACUGAACUUUCAAAACCAAAGCAGUGACGCGGAAACAACUAUACCAGCAGCUUUCCACAUCCUAUUUUAUAAGAAAAUCUCAACGAAACAAGUUCUAUAUAUGAAUGGAAGGAUAGAUGCGAACAGUUAUAGUACCUGAUUGGAGGAGCAAGUGUAGAAAUUGCAGCCGAGCUUGGGACAGAGACAGCUAGUCCUUGACAUUGAUGAAAUAGCUUGUGCUGGAGCAGAUUGGAGUGUGGCUGAGGGGCUGAGUCUAAAGAAGAGAAACUAAGGCGUGGAAAGCUCAUUCCCGUGCGAAACCAUUGGCUGAGCAGUGAGCGACAAGGGGUGAAUGAAAAGGCACAGAAGGGUUUCGGGGGAUGGCACGAAAAUUUGACAGGGAAAGAAAAGGAAGAUAACGGGGUGCGGUAUUUGUGCUUGUUAGGCAAUUUUGGGUGUGAAAUAGGUAAUUUUAAUGUUUAGAGUCUGGAAUAUGUAAUUUCUUAUGUUUUGGGUGCUAUACAUUAUUUUAAAAUGGCGUCAUCCUCUAUUUAUGAUAU